CUCAUUUUCCCGCCAUUUCUCUAAACUCUUCAUUCCCCUUGAUGUGAACCGAACGCGGGAUCCGAAUAACACAUUCGGGUCAUUAUAACCCGACUUCUUACGUUUCAUUCGCAUAGACCUAGGGUUUCUCCUGUCUCCUUCCACAUACGCCUCUCUCUCUCUUCCCAUCGCUUCCUCAAACCCUAGAUUCUCUACUCCUCUCUCCCUCCGCUCUUUAGAACUCUGCAUAGAUCUUUCUUUAGAAUCAUCGCCACUCUCCUUCGCUCCAAUCUCCAACGCUCUCCUUCCAGAUCUCCAUCGGCUGCAAAUCCUCGAUGACGUUGAAGAUCAUUCAUCCUUUUCUUUUUGAUUAUGUCACAUCUUGAAAGAUCCACCACACUCUCUUCAACCCAGAAUCUGUUGGUAUAUAUUUCGCCAAUGGUUCAGUUCAUGUUGUUUGAGAACACCAACGGGAAAUUGUCAUACCAGGAGGCGAAAUCGUGCCGGAAAAGAGAUUCCGUUGUUCCUCAAUGAGACUGGCGAGUAAAAAUUUGUAGUCAUCUUCUUCUCCAAUGGCUAAUCAGUUAUAUUGGAAGAUUCUGACUUUAAAGAAACGGAUAAUCGGGUGCAAGUUUACAACCAGAGCCACAGUUCUGGACAACAGACGGAACACGGGUUUGCUUACAUCGGACCAGCCUAAUCGAGAUGAAAUCGGCUUUCAGUUCCUAGGAAAUGUUUCCGGCCAGCCUUAUAUUCUACAAACAAGUGUAUAUGCUGACGGUUUUGAUAACCGAGAAGAUAGAAUUUACCUAUGGUUUGAUGCCACAAAGGAUUUCCAUACAUAUUCUAUCUUAUGGAAUCUUCAUCAAUUUGUUUAAAAUGAUUCAAGAUACAUCAUCGGAUAUUUCCCGAACCACAGUUGUAUCUCAAGCUGACACCGUUUGCACGCUGCCAGUAUUGGCGACUACAUCGGAUGGGACCCUUCGGCGGUCAACAAAACGACGAAAACACGUCAGCUUUGUGACCCCAACAAGUCAAGAUGUUCGGUCAAUAGAGCCGAUUCUUGAGCAAAAUACAACAACUGAUCAAGAUUUAUAUCUGGAUACUCUUUACUCAACAAACUAAAACAUUGGUGACAGGUUUGGCUUUCUCUUCAAAUGACAUGUUUUUGUUUGGCCAAAUUGACAUGCCAAUCAAGUUGGUACCGGGUCAUUCAACCGGUACAGUCUUGGCAUUCUAUCUUACAUCGGAUCAGCCUAAUAGAGAUGAAAUCUACUUUCAGUUCCUAGGAAAUGUUUCCGGCCAACCUUAUAUUCUACAAACAAGUGUAUAUGCUGACGGUUUUGAUAACCGAGAAGAGAGAAUUUACCUGUGGUUUGAUCCCACAAAGGAUUUCCAUACCUAUUCUAUCUUAUGGAAUCUUCAUCAAAUUGUGUAAGCGUUUCCUUUGUCGAACCAAUCUUUUCUAGCGUUUGCCCUUUUGUAACUAAAAUGUAAAAAGAUGGUUUAAAUGGGUCAGGAAAUAUCCUUAUGAUUAUUGCCAAGAUAAUAAGAGAUUUAAUAAUAAUCUCCCCAAAGAAUGUUAUAUUUCAAGGUAUUGAUUCUUUGAUCUCCAUCAAAGAAUCUCUUUAGCUUAUGAUUCCAGUCAUAUUAAUAAUAAUCAGUCAUGAGGUAUGGUUUUCAUAACAUUAUAAUAUACUUGUGGUUUACCAGAACCGUUGUGGAAAUUGUAGCUUUUUUUCUUUUCAAGAAUUGCACCCAUGGCUUGACUUCCUUUAUAUGCUUCUUUAGAAUUUAGAUGUUUAAUGUAUACUUCUGAAAGUUGAUCACAUGGCAUGCCCUAUGUUGAUGCGAUAGUCAGAUGAAAGAAGCUACAGAGCGGUAUUCCUGUUUAAUUUACGUUAAUAUGUUAAUAUAUAUUUAUUUUCAUAAUCACAGUAUCUAAUUUAUCUUUAUAAGAUUUAUAUUGUUUCUUUUCUGCUUCAAGUUCGUACUUAUAAAAAAAUAUUUUUUGUUUUUGUUUACAGAAGUAUCACAUACAAUAUUCUUAGCUUUCAAUCCGUGACUUAUGUGUUGGUAGGAUUUUUCCAUCUAUUUAACUUAAUAUUAAAGGUUUGGUGUUUGAUAUAUAAACAAUGGUAUUAUAUCAGUUUUCAAUUAAAUAAGAUACUUGUGAUGAUAAAACUGGUGCAGUGGCAUCAAGCUUUAUCACAAUAACAUGAAAAGAAAAGAUGAUUGUUUGAUUUUAAUGAUGGAUGAUGCAGGGUUUAAAUCAUGUACGCACAUUGAAGGGUCAUGAGCAUAAGGUGAUGGCUUUAGUUUUUGUAGAGAGGGAAGUACCAUUAUGUAUAAGCGGUGAUAAUGUGGGGGGGGGGGGGUCAUGGUCAUUUUGGGCAUUGAGGACGAGAAGCCAGUGGCGGCUUUGAUGGUGUGCGGCGAGGACCUCCGCACAAGGCCCGUGAUUUCGAAGGGCACGCGAUUUUAAAAAAAUCCGAUAUAUAUAUGUUAUUCUUUUUAGAUAGUAAAUACAUAACAAUUCCAAUAUAGGACCAUUUACAAAUAAGUUUUUAUUGUUUAGAAUUUACCCGACUUGGCAUUAGGUUUAUUGAGCCCAAUACUAAUUUGAUCUUUUUUAAUAAUAAUAAACCAUUACAGAAUGGCAGAUUUUUUUCAAGCUCAAACAGGGUACGGAAUUCUCAGAGACACCUCUGCGAGAAGCCAAUCAGAAGAAUGAAUGAGGAAAAGAUUGGCGUUACAGUGGUAUUCAUGCCCUUGCAGCAGCUGUUUCUGGAUCUGAUUAUUUUUAUGCACGCAGUGGGGAUAAGUCAGUAAAGGCCUGGUCGAUGCAUGCAAGAUUAUUGUCUAUCAUGUACUAUGAAUGACAAGUCAUAAAUCAUUGGUGUGUACAUACCAACUAGAACAUGGAAGCAAUGGAUAUUUGCCCAGCUUUGAUCACGUUCAUUUAAAAUUCUUCGUCAUGCUUUUGUAAUGAUAUUUAGUUAUUUACAUGUUUUAUAUUUCCUUUGUACAGAUAAAUAAAUGUGAUGUAUAAAGAAUCUUUAAAGACGUGAUUUUUUUUUGUAUUUUAAUCUUUAACUUCAGAUUUACAUAA